CCGGAAAGAAAACAGAGUAGUUUUGCUUUAGCAGAGAGCCGAAGACUCGAAAGAGUGACCCGGAAAAAAAAAGGUAGAGUCAUUCCUCGAUCUCAUCUCAGUAAUUUUCCAGCAAGACCAUUGGAUUAGCAAGGCGAGGACCGACGUUUGCGACGCUGAACGAGAAAAUCUCCCAUUGAGAUUCUUCCUGAAGGUCGCCACUAAUGGCGGCAACGAAGCCCAAAGCUUCUGCUCCGAUUCCAGGCAAAAUGAGCCCACACAUUUGGUUCUACUCCUUUGUGCUCAUUAUUCAAUACGGCAUGCAACCUCUCAUCUCCAAACGCCUCACCAGUCGGGAAGUAAUUGUAACUUCAUCAGUCUUGACAUGUGAGGUAGCCAAGGUUGUAUUUGCUAUUAUUCUCAUGGCGAAAGAUGGCAGCUUAAAGAAACUGGCGAAAGAAUGGACUUUGAUGGGUUCACUCGCUGCAUGUGGUCUUCCUGCCACAAUUUAUGCACUUCAAAACAUUUUGUUGCAGAUAUCUUAUAGGAAUCUCGAUUCACUUACUUUAUCAAUGCUGAACCAGACGAAAAUAUUUUUCACUGCCUUAUUUACAUUUAUCAUACUAAGGCAGAGGCAGUCAAUUCAACAAAUUGGGGCUCUGUUUUUGUUGAUCAUGGCAGCUGUUCUUCUAAGCAUCGGUGAAGGUUCUAGCAAAUCUUCUAGCAGUGGUGAUCCCGAGCAAAUUCUAUUUUACGGAAUUAUCCCUGUUUUAGUUGCUUCUGUACUUUCCGGCCUAGCUUCUGCAUUAUGUCAAUGGGCUUCUCAGGUCAAGAAGCACUCAGCACACUUGAUGACUGUAGAAAUGUCUAUUGUCGGAAGCUUGUGCUUACUGGCUAGUACCUCCAAGUCUCCAGAUGGAGAAGCUAUUAGACGUCAUGGAUUCUUUUAUGGUUGGACUCCACCAACUUUGAUUCCGGUUGUAACCAAUGCUCUUGGCGGGAUUCUUGUUGGCCUUAUCACCAGCCUUGCAGGUGGUGUGACAAAGGUAAGCCUAACUACAUCAAAUUAAUACAGUGAAAACUCAGGAUGAGGCAUUGAAGGGGACAUUGAUGAUUAAAUAGAUGCAUGUUGAUAUGGGGGCUAUUUCAUUGCAUCCAUCUAAAUCAUCAAGGGUUUGUCGUUGUUUCAGCACUUCUUGUAACGGCGAUGCUGCAGUUCCUUUUUGAAGGAAAAUCACCGACGACGUAUAGUCUCAUGGCUCUUCCACUUGUUAUCAGUAGCGUUUCCAUAUACCAGAAAUAUCCAUACCGA